CACCGGCGGCUCGAGUGGUGGCCACUUUUAUUGAGUCUAAAGCGUCCGUAGCCGGCUUGGCAAGUCCCCUGGGAAAUCUGGCGGCUUAACCGUCAGGCGUCCAGAGGAUACUGCCAGGCUUGGGACCGGGAGAGGUGAGAGGUACCUCAGGGGUAGGGGUGAAAUCUUGUGAUCCCUGAGGGACCACCAGUGGCGAAGGCGUCUCACUAGAACGGGUCCGACGGUCAGGGACGAAAGCUGGGGGCACGAACCGG
rnacentral:rRNA from 1 species